rnacentral:rRNA from 1 species
UACGGAGGGGGCUAGCGUUGUUCGGAAUUACUGGGCGUAAAGCGUGCGUAGGUGGUGAGUUAAGUCUGUCGUGAAAGCCCCGGGCUCAACCUGGGAAUGGCGAUGGAUACGUGGCUCGCUAGAGUGCGGUAGAGGAGAGUGGAAUUCCGUGGUGAUAGCGGUGAAAUGCGCAGACUAUCAGGAAGAACACCCGUGGCUAAGGCGGCUCUCUAGUACG